UACGUAGGGGGCAAGCGUUGUCCGGAUUUAUUGGGCGUAAAGAGCGUGUAGGCGGUUUGGUAGGUCCGUUGUGAAAACUCGAGGCUCAACCUCGAGACGUCGAUGGAAACCAUCUGGCUAGAGUCCGGAAGAGGAGAGUGGAAUUCCUGGUGUAGCGGUGAAAUGCGCAGAUAUCAGGAAGAACACCCGUGGCGAAGGCGGCUCUCUGGGACGGUACUGACGCUGAGACGCGAAAGCGUGGGGAGCGAACAGG
rnacentral:rRNA from 1 species